AUGAAACCUUUUUUUUAUUCACAGUCCCCUUGUAGGUCACCCAUGGGGAAUUGCCUAAGCCCCAGGGCUGGCCUCAGUUGUGCCUGGUGCCAGGAGGCAGUGGCGCCAUGUUGUGAGACUCAGUCUGUGGCAGCUGCACCACCAGCAUCCACCACUGCAGAGCCUGCCGUGUUCCAUCCCGGAGUGGCGGAGGUCCAGCACGUGCAGCCAAAGUCAAAGCUGCACAAAGGUAAAGAAGCCACGGGUGCCAUUUUCUUUCUGGCCAACACCUCCCCCACUUCCUUUCCAUCUACUCACCUCAGAGACAUCCUCAGCUUUCAGCUCCCUCCUGCCUAUAGCCAGCUUUCCCAGGGCUGGGCAUGGGGGACAAAGGCUUGUCCUGCCUCUUGUCUUUGUUGUUGAACCUUCUUGCUUGAGGCAUUUUUGGUCUAGUCUUUUGCUUUCCCCGGUGAAAAUUUAGAUACUCCAGUUUUGGAGUCUCCAUCCCAUUCUCUAGCCUUACCUAUUCAGCUACUAUGGUAUCUCAGUGAAGGAGCCGGUUAAAGGCCCAAUCAUGUCUUUUCUCCUAUUUGAUAAGGAAGCUAAUAAUUGGGAAAAUUCAGACUCAGAUAUUUGGAAACUUCUUAAAUUUAAAAUAGAGCUAUGGAAGAGAUUAUAUGGUGUUCUUAACAGAUGGUUUGAAGUCACCUUGACUGAAGCAACUUUAUUUCUUCCCAUUGUAAUUUGAAAACCGGAGGAAAAAUUGAGGGACAUGCUUAAAAUGACUGCAAAAGGUAUGAAAUGUUACCGCCAGAGCUGUAAAAAAGUUGUUUUUGUUGUGGUUUUACCCAAAAGUUUAGCCCUUGAGCUCUGAUUACUUUAAAAUUCCCACUUUGACAUGAAUGUCUCUUCAGCCCUACUCCAGUUACUUCACAGGCUUUGUUUACCUCCUUACCUUCUGAAAGACAGGUAGAGCUAGGUCAUGGUUACAGGUUCCAAAGGAGAUGAAAUGACUUUAGACUUGAAUUUGUAAGGUAAAGACUUGAGAGUUAGAAGGCCAGACUCUGCCUGUGGAAAAGAGUUUGUUUUCAUGGCUCAUCUUCCUACAGGAUGGGAAAGGGGAGGAGAGAGGAAGCAUUUAAUUUUUUUGCUAGGGUCAAAUUGAAGACAAAAACUAACACUUGUAAGACAGGAGAUGAGCAUUUAGUUACAAAAUCAGUCAAACAUUUGUAUAUCACUACAUUUGUUGAGCAAAGGAAAGCUACCAGACUCAGAAAACCAGAGAUGCUAAUGGAACUGACAUUAGUAACCAGGGUUUUCUACUGAGUUCAGCACCCAGGGCGACUUCCAAUAACAACCAUUCUUCCCUCCACACACUUUUCUUAUUAUUGGAAAGCUCAGGCAGCCCAGGAUGAAUAAUACA
rnacentral:lncRNA from 13 species